rnacentral:misc_RNA from 1 species
UUAAGUUCAGCGGGUAAUCCUACCUGAUUUGAGGUCAAACUUUAUGAAUACUGUUUGCCAGACUGUCUGUACUUUCAGUAAAAGCCUUUAAAACGCCUACUAACGCCACUACGAGUUGGUAAAACCUAAUACGCAGAGUAUCAGCGGACUGGACUAAAACCUCAGUCAGCAACAGCCAGAUGGCCAGCAUUUUCAAGUUA